UACGGAGGGUGCGAGCGUUAUUCGGAAUUACUGGGCGUAAAGCGCGUGUAGGCGGCUUGACAAGUCUGAUGUGAAAGCCCUGGGCUCAACCGGAGGAAAGCCAGUGAAACUGCAUGACUAGAGUGUGGGAGAGGUAGAAGGAAUUCCCUGAGUAGCGGUGAAAUGCGUAGAUACAGGGAAGAACACCGGAGGCGAAAGCGUUCUACUGGAACACAACUGACACUGAGAGACGAAAGCUAGGGGAGCGAAUGGG
rnacentral:rRNA from 1 species